rnacentral:rRNA from 1 species
AGAGUUUGAUCCUGGCUCAGAUUGAACGCUGGCGGCAGGCCUAACACAUGCAAGUCGAGCGGAUGAUGGGAGCUUGCUCCUGGAUUCAGCGGCGGACGGGUGAGUAAUGCCUAGGAAUCUGCCUGGUAGUGGGGGACAACGUUUCGAAAGGAACGCUAAUACCGCAUACGUCCUACGGGAGAAAGCAGGGGACCUUCGGGCCUUGCGCUAUCAGAUGAGCCUAGGUCGGAUUAGCUUGUUGGUGAGGUAAUGGCUCACCAAGGCGACGAUCCGUAACUGGUCUGAGAGGAUGAUCAGUCACACUGGAACUGAGACACGGUCCAGACUCCUACGGGAGGCAGCAGUGGGGAAUAUUGGACAAUGGGCGAAAGCCUGAUCCAGCCAUGCCGCGUGUGUGAAGAAGGUCUUCGGAUUGUAAAGCACUUUAAGUUGGGAGGAAGGGUUGUAGAUUAAUACUCUGCAAUUUUGACGUUACCGACAGAAUAAGCACCGGCUAACUCUGUGCCAGCAGCCGCGGUAAUACAGAGGGUGCAAGCGUUAAUCGGAAUUACUGGGCGUAAAGCGCGCGUAGGUGGUUUGUUAAGUUGGAUGUGAAAGCCCCGGGCUCAACCUGGGAACUGCAUCCAAAACUGGCAAGCUAGAGUACGGUAGAGGGUGGUGGAAUUUCCUGUGUAGCGGUGAAAUGCGUAGAUAUAGGAAGGAACACCAGUGGCGAAGGCGACCACCUGGACUGAUACUGACACUGAGGUGCGAAAGCGUGGGGAGCAAACAGGAUUAGAUACCCUGGUAGUC